CCAUCAACACACACCAACACAGGCAACAAAGAUCAAACAAAUCAUCACAUUACUGUGUGUAAUAGUAACAAUGCAUGUUGCAAUUGCUCAGAUACAUUCUUUUAACUUUGACAAAAACUUCAUUCAACUCAAGCGAGGGAUAAUAAAUCUUGAAUCUUCCUCAGCAAAUCCAAAUCAGCCAUAAUAGUAAUACUAAAUUGUACAUUCUGAUUUGGCAACUAAUAAAGAAAACAGAACAAAAAGUUCAAAGUAAAAAAAAUAAAAUUAACAACCCAACCAAAGAAUCAAGAACAACCCAACCAAAGAACAAAUCAGAAUCAACAAUAGGGAGGACGACGGAAGAAUAAAAAUAAAUCAGAAUCAAACCAACAAUCAAAAUAAAAAAGUUCAGAAUAAAAACUGAUCAGAAUCAAAAUCAAACAGAGGCUCCAUUACAGAUUCAAAUGCAAGGAAGGAUGAUGGCGCUGGAAACGGAGAGCUGGCGACAGUGGAACAAAGCUUCGCGACGGAGGCAGGAGGCGAACCCGGCGACUAUGCUUCCACUGCUGAGAGUCUGAGACGUUAGCUGAGUGAGGGACCGAGUGAGCUUCGAAGCUCCAACCAGCGACGGCGUCAGGAGUAGUCCGGCGGCUGAACGAAAGGGAGGGAGUGAGCUCACCGGCGUUGAGAGGAACGGCUAGCUCGAGGGUGAUGGGAAGGACGAGGGAGGGUCUGCUGCUGCGCCGUUGGAGAGAGUGUUGGAGUGAGUUAGGGUUGGUAACGGGUAAGGUUGGGGGUUA
rnacentral:lncRNA from 1 species